rfam:Brachypodium distachyon strain Bd21 chromosome 5, whole genome shotgun sequence.
AAGAUAUUUCCUCCGUUCAAAAAAGAAUGUCUCAAUUUUGACUAAAUUUGAAUGUAUCUAUACACUAAGUCAUGUCUAGAUACAUCCAAAUUUUGACAAACUUGAGACAUUUUUUGUUGGACGGAAUGAGUACUAU